rnacentral:tRNA from 1 species
GCCGAUGUAGCUUAGCUGGUAGAGCAACGCAUUCGUAAUGCGUGGGUGGUAGGUUCAAGUCCUAUCAUCGGCA